rnacentral:rRNA from 1 species
AUUGAACGCUGGCGGCAGGCUUAACACAUGCAAGUCGAACGAGUGGCGGACGGGUGAGUAAUGUCUGGGAAACUGCCUGAUGGAGGGGGAUAACGACUGGAAACGGUAGCUAAUACCGCAUACCAUCAGAUGUGCCCAAGUGGGAUUAGCUUGUUGGUGGGGUAACGGCUCACCAAGGCGACGAUCCCUAGCUGGUCUGAGAGGAUGACCAGCCACACCGGAACUGAGACACGGUCCGGACUCCUACGGGAGGAAGCAGUGGGGAAUAUUGCGCAAUGGGCGCAACCCUGAUGCAGCCAUGCCGCGUGAAUGAAGAAGGCCUUCGGGUUGUAAAGUACUUUCAGCGGGGAGGCGUUACUCGCAGAAGAAGCACCGGCUAACUCCGUGCCAGCAGCCGCGGUAAUUC